rnacentral:rRNA from 1 species
GACAGGAGGGUGCAAACGUUGUUCGGAUUCAUUGGGCGUAAAGGGUGCGUAGGCGGCGCGGUAAGUCGGGUGUGAAAUCUCGGAGCUUAACUCCGAAACUGCAUUCGAUACUGCCGUGCUUGAGGACUGGAGAGGAGACUGGAAUUUACGGUGUAGCGGUGAAAUGCGUAGAUAUCGUAAGGAAGACCAGUGGCGAAGGCGGGUCUCUGGACAGUUCCUGACGCUGAGGCACGAAGGUCAGGGGAGCAAACGGG